rnacentral:rRNA from 1 species
GAUGGAGGGGGAUAACUACUGGAAACGGUAGCUAAUACCGCAUAACGUCGCAAGACCAAAGAGGGGGACCUUCGGGCCUCUUGCCAUCGGAUGUGCCCAGAUGGGAUUAGCUAGUAGGUGGGGUAACGGCUCACCUAGGCGACGAUCCCUAGCUGGUCUGAGAGGAUGACCAGCCACACUGGAACUGAGACACGGUCCAGACUCCUACGGGAGGCAGCAGUGGGGAAUAUUGCA